rnacentral:lncRNA from 1 species
AGCAGGGCCGAUGGGCUCGCGGGCCACAAAGGGCGGACCUGGCGUGAGGUCUAUUAAGAGCGCGCAGCCCAAUGACCUAAAAAGGGGUUGUGCACUGCUGAAGGCUGGGGGGAAGCUCCAAUUGGGGCCAAAAAAGGCUCGAUCUAGCCCAACAGGUGAAAGGACAAGACCCUGGCCUAUCGGGCAGAUUUGAUUGACCCAUCAGCCACCC